GCAUGAUCUAGCUUGCUAUAUUGAUGGCGAGUGGCGAACGGGUGACUAAUACAUCGGAACGUGCCCUGUAGUGAGGGAUAACAAGUCGAAAGAUUAGCUAAUACCGACAUACGACCUGAGGGUGAAAGUGGGGGACCGCAAGGCCUCAUGCUAUAAGACCGGCCGAUGUCUGAUUAGCUACUUGGUGGGGUAAAGGCCCAUCAACGCGACGAUCAGUAGCUGGUCUGACAGGACGAUCAGCCACACUGGAACUGACACACGGCCCAGACUCCUACGGGUAGCAACAGUGGGGAAUCUUGGACAAUGGGCGAAAGCCUGAUCCAGCAAUGCCGCGAUGUGUGAACAAGGCCUUCGGGUUGUAAAGCACUUUUGUCCGGAAAGACAUGGCUCUGGUUAAUACCUGCGGUCGAUGACGGUACCGGAAGAAUAAGGACCGGCUAACUAGCGUGCCAACAGCCGCGGUAGAUACGUAGGGUCCAAGCGUUUAUCGGAAUUACUGGGCGUAUAGCGUGCGCAGGCGGCUGUGCAACACCGAUGUGAUAUCCCCGAGCUUAACUUUGGAAUUGCAUUGGUGACUGCACGGCUAGAGUGUGUCAGAGGGGGAGUAGAAUUCCUCGUGUAGCAGUGAAAUGCGUAGAGAUGUGGAGGAAUACCGAUGGCGAAGGCAGCCCCCUGGGAUAACACUGACGCUCAUGCACGAAAGCGUGGGGAGCAAACAGGAUUAGAUACCCUGGUAGUCCACGCCCUAAACGAUGUCAACUAGUCUUGGGGAUUCAUUUCCUUAGUAACGUAGCUUACGCGUGAAGUUGACCGCCUGGGGAGUACGGUCGCAAGGUUAAAACUCAAAGGAAUUGACGGGGACCCGCACAAGCGGGUGGAUGAUGUGGAUUAAUUCGAUGCAACGCGAAAAACCUUACCUACCCUUGACAUGCCACUUAACGAAGCAGAGAUGCAUUAGGUGCUCGAAAGAGAAAGUGGACACAGGUGCUGCAUGGCUGUCGUCAGCUCGUGUCGUGAGAUGUUGGGUUAAGUCCCGCAACGAGCGCAACCCUUGUCUCUAGUUGCUACGAAAGGGCACUCUAGAGAUGACUGCCGGUGACUAACCGGAGGAAUGGUGGGGAUGAUCGUCAAUGUCCUCAUGGCCCUUAUG
rnacentral:rRNA from 1 species